rnacentral:rRNA from 1 species
GACGAACGCUGGCGGCGUGCUUAACACAUGCAAGUCGAGCGGUAAGGCCCUUCGGGGUACACGAGCGGCGAACGGGUGAGUAACACGUGGGUGACCUGCCUCUAGCUCUGGGAUAAGCCUGGGAAACUGGGUCUAAUACCGGAUAUGACUCCACGGCGCAUGUUGUGGGGUGGAAAGCCUUGUGUGGCUAGAGAUGGGCCCGCGGCCUAUCAGCUUGUUGGUGGGGUGAUGGCCACCAAGGCGACGACGGGUAGCCGGCCUGAGAGGGCGACCGGCCACACUGGGACUGAGACACGGCCCAGACUCCUACGGGAGGCAGCAGUGGGGAAUCUUGCGCAAUGGGCGAAAGCCUGACGCAGCGACGCCGCGUGAGGGAUGACGGCCU